AUUGAGCGCUGGCGGCAUGCCUUACACAUGCAAGUCGAACGGCAGCACGGGAGCAAUCCUGGUGGCGAGUGGCGAACGGGUGAGUAAUACAUCGGAACGUGCCCAGUAGUGGGGGAGUAACCCGGCGAAAGACCGGACUAAUACCGCAUACGACCUAUGGGUGAAAGCAGGGGAGUUUCAUGGCAACAUGCGACCUUGCGCUAUCGGAGCGGCCGANGUCAGAUUA
rnacentral:rRNA from 1 species